rnacentral:rRNA from 1 species
AACGAACGCUGGCGGCAUGCCUAACACAUGCAAGUCGAACGGGAUCCUGGCUUCGGUCAGGUGAGAGUGGCGGACGGGUGAGUAACGCGUGGGAACCUGCCCAGUGGUGGGGGAUAACUGCGGGAAACUGCAGCUAAUACCGCAUGAGCCCGAGAGGGGAAAGAUUUAUCGCCAUUGGAGGGGCCCGCGUUCGAUUAGGUAGUUGGUGAGGUAACGGCUCACCAAGCCGACGAUCGAUAGCUGGUCUGAGAGGAUGAUCAGCCACACUGGGACUGAGAUACGGCCCAGACUCCUACGGGAGGCAGCAGUGGGGGAAUAUUGGACAAU